CGCGCCGCUGGCCCAGGUACAGCGUGAACACCGGCCCGAAGCGCUCGGCCAGCUGCGGAGACAGAGGCUGCAGUUUAUUAGCCACAUAAGCAAGUCACUGGCUGUGCUGCGCUUAACACUGCACCUCUCCUAAACCAAGAAGGGGCAUUGGCCUCUGGCAGAAGCUUCAGGGGCCUUUGCCUCCCUCCACUUUUUUCACCCCUCAAGGACCUUCCAGGACAAGGUUAGACAAUCAGGAAGACAGAGAGCCUGUGGCAGGGAGCUCUUCAGGCUUUCAUCACAUCUGCUGUUGGCUGGGUGUGGCAAAGAGGUAAACGUAUUGGGACAAUUUUCUUCUUUCUCUAGAUAACUAACAGUGUUUAUCAGGGAUGAGAGUUGGGUUAAUGAAAUGUCUUUUUGAUUGAAACAAUUCUAUGAUUUUUCUCCUUAGACCUGCUAGUGUGAGGCUAGAUAAAAACACUGUCUCACACUGUACCAUAAAAGCACCAUAUACUUUUACAUUUUAUCAUAAAAGUACUUCAUAGUUCCACAUCACAACCAACUCUUUCAUGGAGUGAUACUCUUUUAACGCCCUAAGGAUUCAACUUGUUAAUAGUAUUUUUGGUAAUUUCGCAUCUAUACCUGCAAAUAAAAUUGGGCUAUAGCUUUUGUGUUAUAUUAGGUUCUUGCAUAAAAAUUGCACUAUUCUAGAAACCAUUGCAAAACUCCCGUCUUCUGUGUGCCUGGGAAUACUUUAUAUUGUAGGGGAAUUGUCUGUGCUUUGAAAUUUUGAUAGAACUCACUAGUAAAGCAAUAUAGAGAAGAUUUAUUGGAAUUGAAUAAUUGUUUAUAAAGAUUAGAAAGAUAAUUUUGAUCGGGAAAGUAAAAUAUCUCCUUUUAACAAAUGCAAACAACACAGAAGUGGAUGAAGUGAAAACUGAGGGUCCCAAAUUUACCCUACAAAGGCAGCUUCCAUAUUUUAAACCCCAUUAAGAAGGAAAAAUCCUCUGCUAAUUCUCUUUUUAUUAUUUGUAGUUUUUAUUUUAUACCUACUAAAAUACUUCUUUUGCACUUACUUUAAUUCUGUAUAUAAUGUGGAUUUGACUUACUAGUAUUCUUUUAUUUUGGCCCAAGAGACUUCCUUUAGUGUUUCUUAUGACAGGCUUACGAAUUCUUUCAGUUUUAUCUGAGAAUGUCUUAUUUUCUCUUUCUUUUUGACAUUUGA